GACGAACCGAGCGAACGUUGUUCGGAAUCACUGGGUUUAAAGGGCGCGUAGGCCGGCAUUCAAGUCUGUGGUGAAAUCCUCCAGCUCAACUGGAGAACUGCCAUGGAUACUGGGUGUCUCGAGGGUGGUAGGGGUAUGCGGAACUAUCGGUGGAGCGGUGAAAUGCGUUGAUAUCGAUAGGAACUCCGGUGGCGAAGGCGGCAUACUGGACCACUUCUGACGCUGAGGCGCGAAAGCCAGGGGAGCGAACGGG
rnacentral:rRNA from 1 species